CCUCAGUAGCUUCCCCAAGGAAACUGGUACCAGAAAGGACACUUUCACACCUAGUGUUUUUAGAGGGUAUUAGGGGCCAUCUGAGUAGAGUUUUGAUGCCAGAAUGGAGACAGAAGUGUGGCAAGAGGUCCUUUAUUGAUCUAUGCAGCCAUCUGGCUUGGCACCUGUGCUUUCUUAAAGCUCAUUGAAACACUGAAGACUCCAAAGGGAUCUAUUUUCUCUUUUGCCAUCCAAGUCAAUAUCACUUUACCAACCAAGGAAACUAUAAAUUAUCACGGUUCUGAAAUUGGCAGACUGAUGCAAUUAGUUCUCCUGAAUGCUUGACAUUCCAUGUCACUAAAUAGAAAGAAGAAAAAAAAAUUCUUUCCUGCUGGGAUCAUGGUAGAAAUGUUAGAAUUUUUUUAAGAAUAAAAAAUCUACAACAGCA